AUGAGAGAAUAUAAGAAAGACAAGAGGCAAAAUCCGGAGUUCACAUCGAAACUUCCCGUCUACCACGCCUCUGAUUUACACCCUCCUUCCACGAUUAUAUGCUCGAAUUUGCUUGCUUUCACCGUCACAGAACAAUUAUCUACAAACCACCAUGAUCUCAAAAUCCAAAUCAAACCAACAACACUUUCUAAUCAGAAAACAAAGAAGAAGUUGAAAACUGAAGCAACCUGA